CUAGAGAAUUCAGAGUAAGGAAAAGAGAAGCGUUCUCUAAUGUGUCUGCAUGCUAGAGAGAGGGGCAGGAUUUUGCAGCCUCUGGCAGGCAGCCAUGGAAACCCACACAUGGAAAACAAAAGCUUUCAUUUCUACCUCCCCUACCCAUUACUAUUCAGGAUCUGUUAUGCCUGGGGUGUGGAAGUGGAAAAAGAAGGCAGGAGACGGAUACUGCAAGUACAUGGAAUGUUCUUCUAUCUGCCCUUCCUCUGAAGGACAUAAGAAAAGGGACUUAGCAUGCCAAAGACCUAGUGUCGAAUUCCAGUUACACCCUUUCUCACCAAAUGGGACUUUGGGCAGCCAUGAAUGCAUCACUAGUAACUGAGGAGAAAGAGCAGCACCAAGCCAAUCUUCCAUGUGCUUUUCCACAUUUCUCAGGCCACCUUACAAUUACAUCAAAAACACUUAACUACUACAA